GACGAACGCUGGCGGCGUGCCUAAUACAUGCAAGUCGAGCGAAGUUUUUCUGGUGCUUGCACUAGAAAAACUUAGCGGCGAACGGGUGAGUAACACGUAAAGAACCUGCCUCAUAGACUGGGACAACUAUUGGAAACGAUAGCUAAUACCGGAUAACAGCAUUAACUGCAUGGUUGAUGUUUAAAAGUUGGUUUUGCUAACACUAUGAGAUGGCUUUGCGGUGCAUUAGCUAAUUGGUGGGGUAAAGGCCUACCAAGGCGACGAUGCAUAGCCGACCUGAGAGGGUGAUCGGCCACACUGGGACUGAGACACGGCCCAGACUCCUACGGGAGGCAGCAGUAGGGAAUCUUCCGCAAUGGGCGAAAGCCUGACGGAGCAACGCCGCGUGAGUGAAGAAGGAUUUCGGUUCGUAAAGCUCUGUUGUUAGGGAAGAAUGAUUGUGUAGUAACUAUACACAGUAGAGACG
rnacentral:rRNA from 1 species